GGCGAGUGAAGCGGCAACAGCUCAAAUUUGAAAUCUGGCCUCUUUUGGGGUCCGAGUUGUAAUUUGCAGAGGGCGCUUUGGCGUUGGCAGCGGUCCAAGUUCCUUGGAACAGGACGUCACAGAGGGUGAGAAUCCCGUACGUGGUCGCUGGCCUUCGCCGUGUAAAGCCCCUUCGACGAGUCGAGUUGUUUGGGAAUGCAGCUCUAAAUGGGAGGUAAAUUUCUUCUAAAGCUAAAUACUGGCCAGAGACCGAUAGCGCACAAGUAGAGUGAUCGAAAGAUGAAAAGCACUUUGGAAAGAGAGUCAAACAGCACGUGAAAUUGUUGAAAGGGAAGCGCUUGCAGCCAGACUUGCCUGUAGUUGCUCAUCCGGGCUUUUGCCCGGUGCACUCUUCUAUAGGCAGGCCAGCAUCAGUUUGGGCGGUUAGAUAAAGGUCUCUGUCAUGUAGCUCUCUUCGGGGAGAACUUAUAGGGGAGGCGACAUGUAACCAGCCCAGAUUGAGGUCCGCGCAUUUGCUAGGAUGCUGGCGUAAUGGCUGUAAGCGGCCCGUCUUGAAACACGGACCAAGGAGUCUAACAUCUAUGCGAGUGUUUGGGUGUCAAGCCCGAGCGCGCAAUGAAAGUGAACGGAGGUGGGAACCCCUCGGGGUGCACCAUCGACCGAUCCUGAUGUCUUCGGAUGGAUUUGAGUAAGAGCAUAGCUGUUGGGACCCGAAAGAUGGUGAACUAUGCUUGAAUAGGGUGAAGCCAGAGGAAACUCUGGUGGAGGCUCGCAGCGGUUCUGACGUGCAAAUCGAUCGUCAAA
rnacentral:rRNA from 2 species